CGCCCUCUGAAAAGAGACGGAGGGAGGUGAGAAAGAGGCUCCGCCAAUAGGGAACGUCUUUUCUAUUAAUUCAGAUGGAGCGAGAUGAGAUGAGGGAGGCAGGGUGGGGUGUGGAGACGGGAGGUAGGGAGGGAUGGAGGGAGGUGGUGGUCUCCAUGGCUGCAGUUGCCGUAGCAACCCCUCUCCAGCAGCAGGGAGAGGCACGGCGGUGUGGGCGACCGCGUGGAGGUCAGAGGUCGGCAUACCCUCGUCGCUGGUCUGGGUCUCGGUGCCGGCGUCGGGCUCGGCCUCCUCCAACGCUCCGGGCUCGCUGAACGGACUCUCGCUGCAGGAGGAGGAAGAGGAGGAAGAGGAGGAUCAGUCAAAGCGUCCAUUCAAUAUGUGAACAAAGACGAACGCUCAGCGGGAGGUGAAGCUGCUCAUCGUCUGCAGCGACAGAAGCACUGAAGGAGGGAGUGAUUCCAACCGGGUGCUUUUACACCACCAGGAAAAUCUGAAAUCUCUUCGUCUAUAAAGUCCGUCAGCGUGAGCCCCGCCCAGAUCAAAAACUUACAUUCACAGGAUUUAUAUAAAGAAUUCACCCUCCCUGGAAAUGCUGUCCUUCAUUGCUUUUCAACAAAUUCAAUUAUGGUCAAUUGAAUUGAGGCUUUUAAGAUGAAUUUACCAAAGAAAGACAUUAUGAUGUGAAGCCUGGUGGUGGAAGCAUCAUGAUGUGAAGCAUGGUGGAGGUAGCAUCACGAUGUGAAGCCUGGUGGAGGCAUCAUCAUGAUGUGAAGCAUGGUGGAGGUAGCAUCACGAUGGUGGCAGCACCAUGAUGUGAAGCAUGGUGGAGGCAUCAUCAUGAUGUGAAGCCUGGUGGAGGCAUCAUCAUGAUGUGAAGCAUGGUGGAGGCAUCAUCAUGAUGUGAAGCAUGGUGGAGGUAGCAUCACGAUGUGAAGCAUGGUGGAGGUAGCAUCACGAUGGUGGCAGCACCAUGAUGUGAAGCAUGGUGGUGGUAGUAUUAUGAUGUUUCUCAGCGGCAGGGUCUAGAAGGCUUGUACAGUUCCCGGCUAUUGAAUGCAGCAAAGUCUAGAGAAAUUCUGGAGGACAACUUAGUAUAGUCUGAAGAGAAUUGAGACAUGGAGAAGAUUUAUUUUCCAUCCAGACAAUGACUUGAACCAAACAGUGAAAACUCCACAGAAAUGGUUCAAAGACAACAAGGUGAAUGUUCUGGAGGACAAAUUAGAGUCCAGACCUCACUGCAACUAAGAAUCUGUGUCAGUACAGAGGUCCAACAAACUACCAUGUCUGAUUAAUUCAUGUCAAAAAGCCAAACAAUAUUGGUUAUGACUCAGUGCUGAAGAGCAAUAAAAGAGAACAACUUCCUAGGGGAGGGAAUGCUUUUUAUAGGCGCUGCAAAUUUCAUAUUGACACACUUGUCAGCAAGCUACGACCAAAAACUGGGUAUUUGUACAAAGACAAAGCUGAUUUUCUCAUGUUGUGCAGAAAGUAAAUAACUGAGGCUGUCUUCUUGUCUGUCUUAGAUUAUGUUGAUCUAUAGAAACGCCUCUGCCUCCUCUCUGAAAGCCACCGAUUCAGUUCAACACUCCAAGAUUCAUUAGAUGUGACAGUUACUCUAGUCAUCACUGCUCGCUGGAUGAAGUCAAAUGGGACAUUGGUUUCUUUUUAUUUAUGAGGCACUGAUGCUGCCAAACAUAACUUUCCUGUUGAACUGCCUUUACUCUUGAACAUCUUUUCAAAUGUGAACACGCCCUCAAUGAUUAAACAAGAUGUUUUGUUUCAGUGUCA